GUAGAUGUAGUUUAAUUCUAAAAUGCUAGAUUGUGAUUCUAGAGACUGGAGGUUAAAUCCCUCUCAUCCACC
rnacentral:tRNA from 3 species